CAAACUGCUAAUCUUUUCUUUCAUUCCCAUCUUUCUGCUCAUUACAGUGGUACUUCAGGAUGGGUCUGUGACCUCUGGCUGUCUUAUACCCAGGGACAACUGUUAGCAUCAUCUGGACUAGAUGCAUCUCAGAAAAACAACAGCAACAACAACAGCAGCAACAGCAACAGCAAAAAGAGAAACAACAGCAACAACAGAACAGCAACAGCAGCAACAACAGUAACGACAGCAACAAUAACAGCCAAAAACCGAAAAUGGCUUGAUUUAGCCCAGCCAAAGCUGGAGAAAAGGAAAUUUUCAGUCUGCCCUGCUGUGCCUACAGCAGUGUUACAACUUACAGAAGAGAGAAACUAAAGCCAGGAAACACGCACAUGUCAUUUAGCUGUGGUCCUGGACACAGGAACAGACAAAGAGGCUUUUUCAUGGUUCUACUCAGCACAGUAUUUCCUACAGGCUUCCUGUGGUGGUUUCAGUGAGACUCAUCCCAAAAGCUUAUGUAUGUGACUGCUUGAUUCCCAGUGGAAUUGCUUGAGAAGGAUUAGAUGUGGCCUUGCUGGAGUAAGUAUGGCCUUGUUGGAGUAAUUGUGUUUUGGGAGUGGGCUUUGGGGUUUCAAAUUCGCUUGCUGGGCCCAGUCUCUCUCUCUCUCUCUCUCUCUCUC
rnacentral:lncRNA from 1 species